ACUUGGGACGGCGUGGCUAUAGCCAGGGGUGGAGGGAAGAGUGAUGAUACUGGUCAAUUGCUACUGCUGGCCCAUACGGUGACCACUGAAUAACACUGAGAACGCACAAAAAGAAACCCUGUCUCUGAAAAACAGCCCAUGUCUACGGCGUACACGUCCCGGUCUAGCAGCAUCCUUGUCCCUGGCCUGACAACCCGCUUCGAAGCUACACGUUACGACGCUCGCGCAGAAUC
rnacentral:snoRNA from 1 species